rnacentral:rRNA from 1 species
GACGAACGCUGGCGGCGUGCCUAAUACAUGCAAGUCGAGCGGAUGGAUGGGAGCUUGCUCCCUGAAGUCAGCGGCGGACGGGUGAGUAACACGUGGGCAACCUGCCCCUAAGAUCGGGAUAACUUCGGGAAACCGGAGCUAAUACCGGGUAUGAUCAUCCCUCACAUGAGGGAUGAUGGAAAGACGGUUUCGGCCGUCACUUAGGGAUGGGCCCGCGGCGCAUUAGCUAGUUGGUGAGGUAACGGCUCACCAAGGCGACGAUGCGUAGCCGACGUGAGAGGGUGAUCGGCCACACUGGGACUGAGACACGGCCCAGACUCCUACGGGAGGCAGCAGUAGGGAAUCUGCCGCAAUGGACGAAAGUCUGACGGAGCAACGCCGCGUGAGUGAAGAAGGUUUUCGGAUCGUAAAACUCUGUUGUCAGGGAAGAACAAGUACCAUAGUAACUGAUGGUACCUUGACGGUACCUGACCAGAAAGCCACGGCUAACUACGUGCCAGCAGCCGCCGUAACAC